rnacentral:rRNA from 1 species
AUUAAAAGAAAUUAAUUUAUUUACCUUUUGUAUCAGGGUUUUUUAAAAUUAUUAAUUAGUUAAAUUUCUCGAAUCUAUAAUGAACUAAUUAGUUUAUAUUUGUUGUAUUAAAUAAUUAAUUAUAUUAGUAAUGAAAUGUUAUCGUAUUUUGGGUUAUCUAGUUAUUUAAAUAAUUUAAAAUAUAUAGUUAAUUUUAAAUUAAUCAAAUAUAAAAGUUAAUUUUUUUAUUUUAAUAUAUAAAAUUUUAUAUAUUAUUAAUUAGGUUUAAUAUUAAUCAUAUUAAUAUAUUUUUAUAAAUAAAUAAUUAUUUAAUUAUUUUUAUUAUAUUUAUUUAAGUUAUUAAAAUUAAUAUAUAAUUUUUAAAAAUAAUGAAUUAAUUAGUACUAGUUUUAUAUUAUAUAUUUAACUUGAGGUUUAUUUGAUAGUUUAACAAAAACAUUUUUUUUAGUAAAUUUUAAGUAAGGCCUGCCCAGUGAAUUUAAACGGCUGCAGUAUUUUAACUGUACUAAGGUAGCAUAAUCAUUUGUUUUUUAAUUGAGGACUGGUAUGAAUGGUUUUACAAAUAAUUAACUAUAAUAUAUUUAUAUAGUAAUUUUUAUUUUAAAUAAAAAUAUUUAAAUAUAAUAAAGGGACGAUAAGACCCUAAAAGCUUUAUUUAUAAAUUUUAUUUAAAAUAAAUAAAAAUAAGUAAAUUUAGUUGGGGUAAUGUAGGUAAAAGUUUUAUUUUAAAAUUAUACAUUAAUAUAUGGUUAUUUGAUCUUUUAUAUAAAGAAAAAUAGAAUUAGUUACUUUAGGGAUAACAGCGUAAUAAUUUUAGAAAGGUCUUAUUAAUAAAGUUGAUUACGACCUCGAUGUUGAAUUAAAAUGUCUAUAUGCUGCAGUAGGUAUAUAAGAAGGUUUGUUCAACCUUUUAUUUUUUACAUGAUUUGAGUUCAAAU